GACGAACGCUGGCGGCGUGCUUAACACAUGCAAGUAGGACGCAGUUGCGAACGGGGGAGUAACGCGUAGGGAACUGCCUAUUAGAGGGGGAUAACUAUGGGAAACGAUAGCUAAUACCGCAUACUAGUAGAUGGAUCUGCGGUGUAUUAGCUAGUAGGUAGGGUAAUGGCCUACCUAGGCCACGUUACAUAGCCGACCCGGGGAGGUGAUCUGCCAACAUGGGGAUGUGACACGGGCCCGACUCCUACGGGGAGGAGGAGUGGGGGAACCUCGGCCAUGGGGGGAACCCUGACCGAGCAACGCCGCGUGAGGGGAGAAGGUUUUCGGAUUGUAAAGCUCUGUUGUUAAGGAAGCGGUACUUAACCAGAAAGGGACGGCUAACUACGUGCCAGCAGCCGCGGUAAUAC
rnacentral:rRNA from 1 species